AGAGUUUGAUCCUGGCUCAGGACGAACGCUGGCGGCGUGCUUAACACAUGCAAGUCGAACGAACCUUCGGGUUAGUGGCGGACGGGUGAGUAACGCGUGAGAAUCUGCCCUCAGGAGGGGGAUAACGGCUGGAAACGGCCGCUAAUACCCCAUAUGCCGAGAGGUGAAACGAGUUUUCGCCUGAGGAUGAGCUCGCGUCUGAUUAGCUAGUUGGUGGGGUAAGAGCCUACCAAGGCAUCGAUCAGUAGCUGGUCUGAGAGGAUGAUCAGCCACACUGGGACUGAGACACGGCCCAGACUCCUACGGGAGGCAGCAGUGGGGAAUUUCCCGCAAUGGGCGAAAGCCUGACGGAGCAACGCCGCGUGAGGGAUGAAGGCCUCUGGGCUGUAAACCUCUUUUAUCAAGGAAGAAGAUCUGACGGUACUUGAUGAAUAAGCCACGGCCAAUUCCGUGCCAGCAGCCGCGGUAAUACGGGAGUGGCAAGCGUUAUCCGGAAUUAUUGGGCGUAAAGCGUCCGCAGGCGGCCUGAUAAGUCUGUUGUCAAAGCGUGGAGCUCAACUCCAUUUCGGCAAUGGAAACUGUGAGGCUUGAGUGUGGUAGGGGCAGAGGGAAUUCCCGGUGUAGCGGUGAAAUGCGUAGAUAUCGGGAAGAACACCAGUGGCGAAGGCGCUCUGCUGGGCCAUAACUGACGCUCAUGGACGAAAGCCAGGGGAGCGAAAGGGAUUAGAUACCCCUGUAGUCCUGGCCGUAAACGAUGAACACUAGGUGUCGGGGGAAUCGACCCCCUCGGUGUCGUAGCCAACGCGUUAAGUGUUCCGCCUGGGGAGUACGCACGCAAGUGUGAAACUCAAAGGAAUUGACGGGGGCCCGCACAAGCGGUGGAGUAUGUGGUUUAAUUCGAUGCAACGCGAAGAACCUUACCAGGGUUUGACAUCCUGCGAAUCCCUUGGAAACGAGGGAGUGCCUUCGGGAGCGCAGAGACAGGUGGUGCAUGGCUGUCGUCAGCUCGUGUCGUGAGAUGUUGGGUUAAGUCCCGCAACGAGCGCAACCCACGUCUUUAGUUGCCAGCAUUGAGUUGGGCACUCUAGAGAGACCGCCGGUGAUAAACCGGAGGAAGGUGUGGAUGACGUCAAGUCAUCAUGCCCCUUACAUCCUGGGCUACACACGUACUACAAUGCUACGGACAAAGGGCAGCAAACUCGCGAGAGCUAGCAAAUCCCAUAAACCGUGGCUCAGUUCAGAUCGUAGGCUGCAACUCGCCUACGUGAAGGAGGAAUCGCUAGUAAUCGCAGGUCAGCAUACUGCGGUGAAUACGUUCCCGGGCCUUGUACACACCGCCCGUCACACCAUGGAAGUUGGCCACGCCCGAAGCCGUUACUCCAACCCUUGUGGAGGAGGACGUCGAAGGUGGGGCUGAUGACUGGGGUGAAGUCGUAACAAGGUA
rnacentral:rRNA from 1 species